GCCGGAGUGGCGGAAUGGUAGACGCGCACGACUCAAAAUCGUGUCUCGCAAGGGGUGAAGGUUCGAGUCCUUUCUCCGGCA
rnacentral:tRNA from 1 species